CGAUCUGGCUCUAUCUCUGUCACGAGAGUUACAGGAUCUCAAGGAACAACAGAAGAUUCCAUCAAUGAGAUUCACAACGGAACCGGAAAUAUAAAUAUCUUAUGAGAAGAUUGUGGAGAUCAAUGAUGAAUCGUCAACCGACAGUCUGUUUGUAGCCAAUUUGGCUAUAUUUUUCUUCGGAACCGAAAGACUGAAACGUACCGGCAAACCGACACCACGUUUCAUAAAUCUACAGAACCCUGAUGGUUCGUUGAUGUACCCCGCCAGGGAGCAAAUCGACCCAAAGAUUUUUAAGUUUAUUCACGAAAAGCUGACCGAACGCGUAGCUCUUCGGCUUGGAGUCCAUAAGAUGAAGGAAGUAUCGUUUGUGGCAAAUGAGCAUUUCGUUCGAAAAUUCAUCGCCCAAAAAAUAAGCAACAUGAAUAAGGCCACACGGUAACCGCAAAAUACCCAAUAAUAACUACAAAGUAAGCAUUUUCGAG